ensembl:lncRNA
AAUGUUUUCAGUGCAGGCGACUGCUCCUAAGGCGUUUUGGCGCUAUUGGCUUUUCUUGGGAAAACCUGGUCUCCUCUAUUUAUGUAAAAGUCGCUGAUGACGUCUCCGGUUCUUGAAGGGUCCACCCAUUUCAGAGGGGGCAGAUUUCAUCCACUAGCCCUGGUACCUCAGUGUCAAAGGGGAGGGCUAGACUCGGAAACAAGGGGCAGGGGUGAGGAUAGGAAAUGAGACCGGACCCGACUCUCCAGCGUGACGCGCGUUCAGAGCGAGCAGAAGAGCGGAGAUAAGCGGGUUUAUCCUCCUGCAGGGAUUCCUGCUGUAGUCGAGCCAUGCAGUCCUGCAGUUCAGCUCUCUGUGUCCUGAUCUUACUGAUCACCACAUUCACUGCUGGCAAACCAGAGGCAGAAGAACAGAAUGAUAUCAAAGGAGACAUUGACGGACCGUCCCAUGACAAACCAGAGGCAGAGAAGAGGCCUGAGAACAAAGGAGACAAUAGAGGACCGUCCCAUGACAAACCAGAGGCAGAGAAGAGGCCUGAGAACAAAGGAGACAAUAGAGGACCGUCCCAUGGCAAACGAGAGCCAAAGAAACAGAUUGAUUACAAAGGAGAACUUGACGGACAACCCUGGGAGAUAGCGUGUGUGAUAGCAGGUGUUGUGAUUCUGAUUGCAGUGAUUUUGUCCCAAAUAUGUCCCAGGAACAGUAAGCUGGACAUGGAUGAAGAGAAGUCCAUGCCUUUGGACAGUUCCGAAUAUAGGCUGAUAUAUUAUAAGAUGCUCAUGGAUGAAGGGAAGCCCGUGCCUUUGCACGGUUCCGGAUAUAUGCUGUUGAAUAAUUCCGAUCAGGAGGAAAACCAGGAGUAAAGUUCUGCAGUGUGAGCUCAGCAUCAGCUAACAGUUUCUGACUGUGAUAUUAAUAUUGAUAUUGAUUGUAUCUGUAAGUGUUUAGUUUAGUGAAUCUCUUUUUCAUGGUGUUCCUCUGUAAGAACAAAGUCUGUCUGGCUUUCUGACUCUGUGAUGUUGAUUAUACUGAUAGUGAAUGAUUAGUUUGUUCCACUGUAAAGAACAGAGACUGUCUGGUAGCUCUCAGUCCCUCACACACACACACACACACACACACACACAAUCAGUGUAGAAACACCAUAAAGACCCCGACACUCUGACACCCCGACCAGCAGCAGCUCAGCUGUGCCUGAUUUCAUCUUCAGCUGAUUGCAGAGCGUCUGAAGCAGCUGUAAGGCAGCAUGUUCACCCUUCAGCUCCUGAUAGAAGUGUGGAUGAGUUCCUCUCAGAGCUCACAGCUCACUAUCACACACACAGUCCUCAGUUCUUUCAGUGGAAUAAGAGCUUUCACACAGACGUGGACUUUAAAGUGUAUAAGCUGUUACUGUUUUAAAGGAAACUCUGACUGAUGAGACUCAUGUGCUUUAUAACAGUGUAAUAAUGUCCAGUACUGUUAUAAUCUAAUGUACAAACCGACGAGAAUGUUUUAUUUAUUAUAACAUAAAGAGACAAAAUCUCCCGACUAGUAACUCACCAUUGAGGCCUUGUGAUCAUGUCAUGAUUGUUCUGGUCAUCUGGAAAAUAAGAUCAUUAAAAGUUUCUCUUCUGGGUAAUUAAGGCUCUAGAUAAAGCUGGAAAGGUUCCAUUAGAUGUUUAGCUGAUUCCUAUUAGAGGAAUUUUAACAGUCAGUGUUUUGCUUGGUACUGGACAUGUUCGCCACAUCGAGGCCUGAGUAUCAGUCAGGGUUUGAUUUAAAUUGUUCCAUCACCGUUAUUGUUAUUACUUUUAUUACUGUUACUACUUUCUGUACUUGUAUUACUAUUAUUACUUACUUUCCCGCAUUGCCUUUAUUACUAUAUCACUUUCUUUACUGAUAAUAGGGCAGCAAACUAACAUGCAGCUCAUCCAGCUAAUGGCCUUUUACAGUAUGCGUGGUUAAUAUUAGUAAUAGCAGUAGCAGUAAAGCUUUUGCUAGUAGUAUUGUGCCUUUGAUCGCUACAAAUAAGAGUUAAAUCAAUAGAUGUCAAAUAUUUCCUGCCUUAUUUUGAACAUGACGUCAAAAACAUCACAGAACACGUGAACUGGCCCAUGAGACAGUGGGCAGUAUAGAUAUUAAUGUUUGAUUAGAAGUAGCAGCUUCAGUUCUUCUCCUCAGGAACCCAGUUGGGAAACAGAAUAGCAGCUCACUGUCUCUUUGUUUUGUGUUCUUUAUAUGUCGUAUUUGAAGCUUUGGUGUUAUGAAUAAAAGCAGAACUAUAGUUAUUAUUCGUAAUGUUAUACUCCUGGGUAAAUAAAGGCUGUUUGAAGGAAUAACUGGUGU